rnacentral:tRNA from 1 species
UCCCUAGUAGCUCAGACGGUAAAGCAUCUGCCUGCAAUGCAGGAGGCCUGGGUUCGAUUCCUGGUUCAGGAA